UGUAGCCGUGAACGUGCAGAAUGGCGAGGAGGUGGCUGUCAAACUGGAAUCAGUCACAUCACGACAUCCACAGCUUCACUAUGAAUCAAAACUAUACAUGCUUUUGCAGGGUGGAACUGGGAUUCUGCAUCUUAAGUGGUUCGGG